GCCGGGUAUGGUGGUGCAUGCUUGUAGUCCCAGCUACUCUGGAGGCUGAGGUGGGUGAAUCGCUUGAACCCGGGAGGCUGAGGUUGCAGUGAGCCAAGAUCACACCACUGCACUCUAGCCUGGGCAACAGAGUGAGACUCCAUCUCAA
rfam:Nomascus leucogenys chromosome 5, whole genome shotgun sequence.